UACGAGUGCCUCAAGCGUUAUCCGGAAUUAUUGGGCGUAAAGGGUGCGCAGACGGCUUUGUUAGUCUCAUGUUAAAUCUCACGGCUCAACCGUGAACCUGCAUGGGAAACGGCAAAGCUCGAGUAUGUGAGGGGUCUAUGGAACUCUAGGUGUAGGGGUGAAAUCCGUUGAUAUCUAGGGGAACACCAAAAGCGAAGGCAAUAGACUGGCACAUUACUGACGUUCAGGCACGAAAGCGUGGGUAGCGAAUGGG
rnacentral:rRNA from 1 species